ACUCUUUCCUGUCCCGGCCUGCGUGGUGUGGGCUUGUGGGUCUUUGAGACCCGAAAAUUGAGAGCGUUUUCGCACUCCAGCGGCUGCUCCUGGCGGCUCUGCGGCCGUCACCAUGCCACAGAAUGAAUAUAUUGAAUUACACCGUAAACGCUAUGGAUACCGUUUGGAUUACCAUGAGAAAAAGAGAAAGAAGGAAAGUCGAGAGGCUCAUGAACGUUCAAAGAAGGCAAAGAAAAUGAUUGGUCUGAAGGCUAAGCUUUACCAUAAACAGCGUCAUGCUGAGAAAAUACAAAUGAAAAAGACUAUCAAGAUGCAUGAAAAGAGAAACACCAAACAAAAGAAUGAUGAAAAGACACCACAGGGAGCAGUACCUGCCUAUCUGCUGGACAGAGAGGGACAAUCUCGAGCUAAAGUACUUUCCAAUAUGAUUAAACAGAAAAGAAAAGAGAAGGCGGGAAAAUGGGAAGUCCCUCUGCCUAAAGUACGUGCCCAGGGAGAAACAGAAGUAUUAAAAGUUAUUCGAACAGGAAAGAGAAAGAAGAAGGCAUGGAAGAGAAUGGUUACUAAAGUGUGCUUUGUUGGAGAUGGCUUUACAAGAAAACCACCUAAAUAUGAAAGAUUCAUCAGGCCAAUGAGACGGGGUUUCACCGUGUUAGCCAGGAUGGUCUCGAUCUCCGUGAUCCGCCCGCCUUAGCCUCCCAAAGUGUUGGAAUUACAGGCAUGAGCCACCGUGCCCGGCCAACGGCUUGCGUUUCAAGAAAGCCCAUGUAACACAUCCUGAACUGAAAGCCACCUUUUGCCUACCAAUACUUGGUGUAAAGAAGAAUCCCUCAUCCCCACUGUAUACAACUUUGGGUGUUAUUACCAAAGGUACUGUCAUUGAAGUAAAUGUGAGCGAAUUGGGCCUUGUGACACAAGGAGGCAAAGUUAUUUGGGGAAAAUAUGCCCAGGUUACCAACAAUCCUGAAAAUGAUGGAUGUAUAAAUGCAGUCUUACUGGUUUGACAGCAAUUUCAUAUAUAAUUAUUGAGGACUACACACCAAUUGAAGAAACUGCCAUUACUGUGAUGUUUCUGAAUACUACCAAACAGCCAUACAUGUCUGCAAUGAAGAGAUUUAUUAAAUUGUAAACAUUAAAGUGGUCCAGUUUUAUAAAUGGUCUUUAUUUUGAAAUACGCUUUGACCCCAUGUUCAUAAAACUGAAUGAUUGAAAAAAAGCAAAUAUACAAAUAUCCUACUUCAUCAAUAUCUGCAUUUGUGAGUGGGUAUUCAGCAAUUUCCUGAAAAAACCACCAGUGUUCAUUGAAAAUGCCUUUCAAAAAGGUUAAUACACAAUUAUGUGUCUGAGAAUUUAACUGAAGUAUCUUCAAAAUCUCGUUAAUCAUUAAUCCUAAAAAAGGUAGGUAGCAUUAAUACAGAUGUUAAGUUUAUAGUGUUUGUUUACACUAGAAGUAUGUGAGAAGACACUAAAAGUUCAGAAAUCUUAGAGAAAUCUUUUCACCUGUGAAAUCCAGUACAGCAAAGGUCUAGUGAAUUCACAUUCUAAACAUUUUUUUCAUCUCAUUUACCAUGUAUAAUAAUACCUACUUGGCACUAUUUUCUACUUGAAUCAUGAAAAUGAAAAAAAUAUACUAAAGUCUUUGUACUCUCUUAGCAUUUUCUGUAUUCUAAACAAUAUAUUUAUACUUUCAGAAUAGUAUUAAGAAUUAGUUUAAGUAACUCCAGCUAAGUUUUAAAAGGAAAAAGAAGACUGCACUGAUUCCCUGAGGAGAAAUUUAUUUGCAGUUACUUAGAUGAUGUAAAAAGGUAAGGAUUUACGGUUGUAACUUGGUGAAAGCACUUUUGUGAUCUGUUAUAUGUUGUGGUUUUAAGGAUGGCGUAUAUUACAUUAAUCUAUAAUCACCACAUUGUUUUAAAUUGUUUAUUUUUUUUUUAAAGAAGUCUGUCUUCAGAGUACAACCAAUGUGAUUAAUUGUGCCUUUAACAAAGUCAUUCAAUGUCUAAACAAAUUCAGUAUCUGAAACAUCUUCAUGAGGAAAACUGAAGGAAAGGAAUUUAAAAACACAGACCAGGAAACAAUCACAAAAUAUAGGUUUAAUUACUACUUUUAAACUUAAAAAAAAAUAAAAACCAAGAAAACAAACAUAGGUACUCCAGUAAGACUUGCUACUCUGAAUAAUGUAACAUUUUUUCUAAGUUCUAUAAAUAUAUACUGGAAGUUUUAGAACACAUACAGACGCUUAGGAAAAGAAAGGCUAGUUCCUUGGAAAUGACGAUCCAGGAUGAUACAAUCACUUGAUGACAGAAGGUAAGCCUUUCUUACAAUUAGAUUUUAGCAGAUAAUUUUACCACUAAUAUAAAUGGGUGAUGUGUGGAUCACAAGUUCUAGAAGGCGAAUAAAAAUACUGACUCCAGGUAAUUUCUGGAUACUACAAAAAUGAAGUUUGCUUGUUUUUUUUAGAACCAAAAAUACUAUCUUGUAAGGUACAAAGAAAGCUUGAUAUUAAGUAUGAAAACAUAAGCAUAACAUUUGUAACUAAUCACACCCAUGAAAGACGACUAGAUGACACCUGAAACAUUUUUCAAAAUACUGUAACACAGAUGAGUAAUAUUAGUAUAAAUUUUUUAUGUACAUUAAGAUCUGUUUCAGUUUGCUGGUGUGACCAAACCUUAGAAGGUAAUCCCAAGGGAUAAAGCAGAACAUAAGAGCAGAUAUUUAGAUAUUAGUACAGGCUCAAUUUGAUGCAAUCAUAAACCUUCAAGAUUUCUAGUCACUGAAACCCCAUUGUAGGUAGUGUUCUGGAGUCUGCUAUAAGUAAAUCUUUAAUGACUAGAUGUUUUCCUUACCAUCUACACUGAAUGGAAAUACCAUGAAUAUAGACACAUUUUAAGUAGAAGACUGACGUUCUAAAUCAUGCUGUUUGAUUUUAUAAAAAAAUCAUAAUAGACCCUCUCACCUUUAAAAGUUGUAGAGGAGCUUUAUAAUAAAUUCUUAAAUAUACUAAUUUCUGUGAUGUCUAGCAAUUGAAUAAUUUAAACUUGAAAGAACUAAAAUACUAAUAACCAUCUGCUUUAUAUUACACAAGGAAAUAUACACGUAUGUACAUAAAAAGUGAACUCCCUUCACAAAUAAGUUCACAAAGGACUAUGUGUAAUGUGACUGGACAUUCAACAACUAGACUAGCCGGUUGAAAUCACAUUUUCAGUCCUCUGUAAUUGUGAAAUUUUUUCUAAUGCCUUGCAAAAACUACAGAUAACUGAUUAAGUUCAUGUAGGUUCCUUAUUGAAGAUAAAUUGUGGUAUAAAUUCUAUACUCAAGUUACUGAACAUGAGAGUUAGGUUUUUCCAAGUGAUCUAACUUUUCCCUCUAUAAUCUAUAAACCCCAAAAUAACAAUUUCUGUCAGAGAGAAUCUGUAACAGAAGUGUUCUUGUGUGCUGAACAAAAAACUUCUAAAUUGUUUACAAUUCACUUACUAUUUAACCCAAACAAGUUUAACAAGAAUAAGUUUAUACUGUUAGCCCCCAAUGGUCAUAUAUGAUUAAUAAACAUUUUUUGUAAACUCAACUAUAUUCACACAUCAAGAGUUGAGCCAGUGAGCUCAAUCUUUAAAAAACUACACUUGUCUAAAGAAAGUCUUUUAGUGCUCACUUCGGCAGCACAUAUACUAAAAUUAGAACAAUACAGGGAAAAUUAGCAUGGCCCCUGUGCAAGGAUGACACAAAUUCAUGAAGCGUUUCCAUGUUUAAAAUAAUUUGAAAAGAAAGUAUUUUAAACAAAUCCAAGUAAAAAUAAAAUAUCUACAAGUGUUUUCAAAUCUAAGAAAUGAAACAUGUAAAGAUUAAGAAUUUACUGAAUCUUAACAGAGUAUUUCCCUUUGUGAUAUUGACAGAAGUUUCUCAUAAAAUGUAUAAAACAGCAUAAAUGUUUGGUAGAUUCACUAAUAGUAGUCAUACUUUUUUUUUUUUACUUAGUAUUAGCAUUUGUUGAAAAAAUAAAUGGCCAAAGUGCUUUAAUUUUCAUUUAGAAUGAAAUAAUCUGGCUUACCUUUGACUAAUUAAAGAAAAUAUAGGGUAAUACAAUUGUUCAAAAUCUAACACAAAUAGGAGCGUUUACUAUUUUUGUCUGCUUUAAGAUUUUAACUUGAUCGAAAAUACCAACAUCCCCAAACAAAAUUUACUGACCUGACAUCAGCUUACUAUAGACUGAAUACACUUUCAACAUCAGUCCUUAGCUACCUCAAAUAAUGACACAAAGUCUUAGUUUCUUUUGCAUAAGGAUCAAGAUCAAGCUAUUUUUAAAACAAUUUAAAUGGUCUCAAAACAUUCUCCAACUUAAGUGCAAAUUUGAGUACACAUAAUAUUUCCAAAGAGUAGAACUGUUUUUAGAUUAUCUUUGGAUUCUAAUAACCAUUUUGUCCAUUUUUAAAUAAAUUACAAAAAAUAACA